AGGCCGGUGAGGACGCGGCGGGCGAGCGGCGGCUGGAGUGGACUCGCGGGUUGAGUUGUGCCCCGUGGAGGCCGGCAGGGCCGUGGGCCGGGGAGUGUCGAACACUGGAAGGACACCCCAGAGUGGGCCAUAGGGACCCGCACGGUGUGGGCCUGGAGGUGCCUGGUGGAGGCAUUUUGAGCCGUUUGCCUUUUUAGCAUUUCUUUAAAUUGUAUCUUAAAGGUGGGAAUCAAGUGUUAGGUGUUAAUAUUUUUACUCCACUAAGGGCUAGAAAUACUCCUAAGCCAGUGGGUAGCCUACCAUGGGAAACCCAUGAAAACUGGGGACCAGAAUAUGGCCCAGUACAUUACACACCCGGAUUACAGGCACCUUUUCCGUUUACGCUAUGGCAGCAACCCCUGGCCUAUCAUGUGCCAUUAAUGGAUGUGAAAAACAGAAAUUAGAACAAGGCAUCAUUGAAGGAAAGAUUGUCAAUACAUAGUGUUAAAAAAGGAUGGGCAAAUUUAAAACCCAAGGCCAAAUCUUUAAAGGGUGGUUUUUCUCUCUGGGUUUUUGUUUGUUUGUUUUUGUUUUGUUUCCGUGGGGUAUUUUUGUCUGGGCCACUGUGUAAAUGUUUGAUAACCCUGAGCUGGCAGUGGGUUAGCGUGUUGGUCUUGUGUAGACUGCCUUAUAACAGGCGACACAGAUUUUCUCAGUACCAGAGAGAGUGACAUUUGAGGUAGGGAAGCAUGGAGUAACCUUUACUUGUAGGCCAAAUAUAAUUUAAAUUUUCUACAUCUGCUUGUUGAAAGUUUUGUUUUGUUUUGUUUUUUGAGGUCCUUAAAGGUUUAGGAAGCAC
rnacentral:lncRNA from 1 species